rnacentral:lncRNA from 1 species
GAAUUUCCUCAAAAUAGGUGGGAAAAGAUAUAGAAGAAAGGCAUGUUUCUUACGAAGCAGUAAAAAAGUCAAAUCGCUUGAGAAUAUGGAAGCAUUUCCAUGGUGCAUAAUUGCUCUAUACAUAACAUAAAUAUGUUCUGCAAGUGUGUGAAGUUUUUUACUAGACAUAUCAAUGGAAAAACAACAAUCACAGACAGGAAAAGGUAAUCCAAGGAAUUUUCCCCUAUAGAUUUCAAACAGACAAUCUUCUCACGAUGUGUUAAAUACUAUGUAAAGUGCAAAUAUUAACACUGUAAACAUCUUGAUUGCAAAAGGCAAGAACCUCACCUGCCCUUGGAACCUUCACAAAAUAUAAAGAAGGAACCAUCCUUGCUAAGUGAAAGACCAUUUGGAAAUUGAAGGUUGUGGAUAAGAAGAGUGGUUUCUUUUGUCCUAGGAUUGUAUUUGAGAACCCUCUGAAGGUUGUGGAUAAGAACAGUGGUUUCUUUUGUCCUAGGAUUGUAUUUGAGAACCCUCCCACUAUCUUCUGCUGAGAAAACCAGCUGCAUAAAGUUCCUGGAAAAGAAAAGGUGGGAGUUGUAAAAUUUUGACCAAAUGAAGCACAGAUUCUGCAUUUUUGGCCAAGAUCAAAUAUAAUCAUCGUAUAUGGGUGAAACAGACAUGCUUUGGAGCCAUGGAAAGAGCAAGAGGAUUGUCAGUGAUGUGGAAUAGCUGGGCUCUACCUUCUCUGGUGGAUAUGCUGCAAUACGCUAACACAAUCAGUGUCAUGUAGAUCAUAGUGAUCUAAUAUUUUGCGUCGACAUUUUCUAGGAAACUUUUAAGACUCAAUUCACUCAUGUAGACGUGUAGAGAGGAGCGAAAAAAGUGGCUGGGACCACAGGUAAUUGUCGGAAGUUUUAAUUUGAUUUUGUC